rnacentral:rRNA from 1 species
GCAGUCGAACGAUGAAGCCUUUCGGGGUGGAUUAGUGGCGAACGGGUGAGUAACACGUGGGCAAUCUGCCCUUCACUCUGGGACAAGCCCUGGAAACGGGGUCUAAUACCGGAUAACACUCUGUCCCGCAUGGGACGGGGUUAAAAGCUCCGGCGGUGAAGGAUGAGCCCGCGGCCUAUCAGCUUGUUGGUGGGGUAAUGGCCUACCAAGGCGACGACGGGUAGCCGGCCUGAGAGGGCGACCGGCCACACUGGGACUGAGACACGGCCCAGACUCCUACGGGAGGCAGCAGUGGGGAAUAUUGCACAAUGGGCGAAAGCCUGAUGCAGCGACGCCGCGUGAGGGAUGACGGCCUUCGGGUUGUAAACCUCUUUCAGCAGGGAAGAAGCGAAAGUGACGGUACCUGCAGAAGAAGCGCCGGCUAACUACGUGCCAGCAGCCGCGGUAAUACGUAGGGCGCAAGCGUUGUCCGGAAUUAUUGGGCGUAAAGAGCUCGUAGGCGGCUUGUCACGUCGGAUGUGAAAGCCCGGGGCUUAACCCCGGGUCUGCAUUCGAUACGGGCUAGCUAGAGUGUGGUAGGGGAGAUCGGAAUUCCUGGUGUAGCGGUGAAAUGCGCAGAUAUCAGGAGGAACACCGGUGGCGAAGGCGGAUCUCUGGGCCAUUACUGACGCUGAGGAGCGAAAGCGUGGGGAGCGAACAGGAUUAGAUACCCUGGUAGUCCACGCCGU